CCCUUAGAUGUUCUGGGUCGCACGCGCGCUACACUGAUGCAUUCAACGAGCCUAGCCUUGACCGAGAGGUCCGGGUAAUCUUUGAAACUGCAUCGUGAUGGGGCUAGAUUAUUGCAAUUAUUAAUCUUCAACGAGGAAUGCCUAGUAAGCGUGAUUCAUCAAAUCGCGUUGAUUACGUCCCUGCCCUUUGUACACACCGCCCGUCGCUCCUACCGAUUGAGUGUGUUGGUGAGGAGUUUGGAUUGGCCUCGGAAGGUGGUUCGCCACCGUCCGUAGCUGAGAAGUUCUCCAAACCGCCCCACUUAGAGGAAGGAGAAGUCGUAACA
rnacentral:rRNA from 1 species